UUAAGAUGUACUGAAAACAAAAAGGACAAAUAACACAUGAUAUUUUUUUGGGAUGAGCGUGAAUGCUGGUGCAGCCUUGGCGGUCGUUGUUGACUAGACCGCAAAUACGAUACCUUGCGCGCCUGUCAAUCGUACAGUAUGAUACCGAUGGACACCAUCAUACGUUAGCUUGGGAAAGUAAUUUUCUUGAGUCUGGCUUCUUCCUCAAUGUAGUGCAUUUUUUACUAUCUCUUUCUUCGAGUCAACUUCCUCUUUUUUGUCUUAUUCCGAUCUGAAGUGGGCUCGUGGCGGCUUGGACGGCGAUCGAAGCAGCAACAAGAAGCGGAGUGGGGCGAGGCAAGAGCGCGGUUGGUGGGAGAGGCUAGUCAUGACGGUCGAGGGCGCAAGGAAAUCCAUGGGAGAGGCGACAGCGGCGAGGCGUAUGGCCGCAGCAUGCGCGGCGGGCUAGGCUCCCAGAAGUGGCAGGGCGGGCAAGGUCGUGGCGGCGCGCUGAUGCAGGAGGCGGAGCGAGGCGCACGGUGGCAGGCACGGCAUGCCGGGCGAAGCGAGGCCGCGGAGGCUCGGACGCGAGGCAACGGAGGCCGGCGGCGCGGCGGCUUAAGGCAAGGCGGCAGAUGCGGGGCGAAGCAAGGUCGCCGUGGCUCAUAAGCGAGGCCGACGGAGCGGCGGUUCAAGGCGAGGCGGCGGAUGCGAGGAGCACCACUCGAUGUUGAGGCCAAUGACAAGGGAGCCUAGCCACUCGCCAACCACGUCGCCGAGGGAGGUCAGGAUGGCGCGGAUGUGGUCCUGGUCGAACAUCACGCUGUACUGGUCUUUGUAAGAGUCAGUCACCAUGGAAGUUGCCAUCUCGUGACUCUCAACCCCAUUUUCCAAGUAGGAACUCCUUUGUAUAGAUCAGAAAUCUAGGAUAGAUAUAUCACGCUAAUUCAAGAUUUAGUGUCGGUGACAGAAUGUGUGUUCGUGGUCGUGGUCGGUUCUAUUAUAGAAUGAAUGCAAAUGGACAAAUAAAGAGUCCAAAUGAUCCACUAGUUCCAUUGCAAUGUGGGAGACCCACUUAUUUACAAGUUGAAGGAGUGUGUUGGGGAGACACCUUUUUCCCAACAUACACCUCCUGGGAGGCAUCCCUCCCAUACAA
rnacentral:lncRNA from 1 species